rnacentral:rRNA from 1 species
CAGCCGCCGCGGUAAUACGUAGGGUGCAAGCGUUAAUCGGAAUUACUGGGCGUAAAGCGUGCGCAGGCGGUUAUAUAAGACAGAUGUGAAAUCCCCGGGCUCAACCUGGGAACUGCAUUUGUGACUGUAUAGCUAGAGUACGGCAGAGGGGGAUGGAAUUCCGCGUGUAGCAGUGAAAUGCGUAGAUAUGCGGAGGAACACCGAUGGCGAAGGCAAUCCCCUGGGCCUGUACUGACGCUCAUGCACGAAAGCGUGGGGAGCAAACAGGAUUAGAUACCCGAGUAGUCCCUGUCUCUUAUAA